AGACGCUGGCGGCGCGCCUAACACAUGCAAGUCGAACGAGCGAGAGAGAGUUUACUUUUUCGAGCGAGUGGCGAACGGGUGAGUAACGCGUGAGGAACCUGCCUCAAAGGAGGGGGACAACAGUUGGAAACGACUGCUAAUACCGCAUAACGCCCACGACCCGGCAGUCGGGUAGAGGGAAAAGGAGCAAUCCGCUUUGAGAUGGCCUCGCGUCCGAUUAGCUAGUUGGUGAGGUAAUGGCCCACCAAGGCGACGAUCGGUAGCCGGACUGAGAGGUUGAACGGCCACAUUGGGACUGAGACACGGCCCAGACUCCUACGGGAGGCAGCAGGUGGGGAAUAUUGCACAAUGGGGGAAACCCUGAUGCAGCGACGCCGCGUGGAGGAAGAAGGUCUUCGGAUUGUAAACUCCUGUUGUUGAGGAAGAUAAUGACGGUACUCAACAAGGAAGUGACGGCUAACUACGUG
rnacentral:rRNA from 1 species